GGAAUUUUGGACAAUGGGCGAAAGCCUGAUCCAGCAAUGCCGCGUGAGUGAAGAAGGCCUUCGGGUUGUAAAGCUCUUUUGUCAGGGAAGAAACGGUGAAAGCUAAUAUCUUUUGCUAAUGACGGUACCUGAAGAAUAAGCACCGGCUAACUACGUGCCAGCAGCCGCGGUAAUACGUAGGGUGCAAGCGUUAAUCGGAAUUACUGGGCGUAAAGCGUGCGCAGGCGGUUUUGUAAGUCUGAUGUGAAAUCCCCGGGCUCAACCUGGGAAUUGCAUUGGAGACUGCAAGGCUAGAAUCUGGCAGAGGGGGGUAGAAUUCCACGUGUAGCAGUGAAAUGCGUAGAUAUGUGGAGGAACACCGAUGGCGAAGGCAGCCCCCUGGGUCAAGAUUGACGCUCAUGCACGAAAGCGUGGGGAGCAAACAGGAUUAGAUACCCCAG
rnacentral:rRNA from 1 species